UAAUUAGCAAAAUUUCAUGACACGUCUUAUUUGAUGUAAUUUGGAGAUUUAGUUUAUCAAUUACAAGCAUUCGGAAAGAUUUCAAGCAUUCAAAAAGGUUUUUAAGUAUAUUCAUACAAGAUCAUGCUAACAGAGACUUGUAAGAUACAUCGUGGAUGAUAAACGGGACUUCAAGGGAUUUCGAGAGAUGACAAUCAUUAGAUCAUAGAGUUGAUAGAUUUUAAUUGUAAGAGUCUUGUAAUCAUCUGAACAUCGAGUUAUAGUGCAUGAUCUUUGUCCAGAGAAGGGAACACGUGAUUUUUCUUUCAUUCAAGGGUUUCCACGGUAAAAAUCUUGUGUAUUUCUUGGUUAAUGGGUUUGUUUCUUUUUAUAUCUUGAAUCUUACAAUAUUGCACAAAGUCGUGAUAUUCAUUUAAUAUUGUAGUUUUUAGAUCAUUGGGUAAAACAUAGACAAAUGUUAGGUUUUCUAAAUGUCAAUUACACAAAUAGAUACACAGUAUUAUUAUACAUAGAGGGAGCAAUAGCCCACAAGUAGAAGUUUCAGUUUCACCACACCCAUAUUAUUAACAGAUGGAAAUAUAUAUUUAUUCUUGAGAGGUACACACUGAUCACACAUCUACUGCUCCAUACCAAGUAAGCCAGAUAAUGGCAUUUAUAUCUCCAUUAUAUCACUUGAGAUGGUGGGUCUCAAUGUCUUUUGUGAUCUCAAUACAGAGGUCCAUCAAUUUGUUUGGCUCUUCAACAUCUUCUUUCGGCUUUUCAUAGUGAAAGUUCCAUGUCACCGAGGUGUUUUCCCCUUUUGUGUCCACAUGAACAACAAUCAUAAAGGUCUUGUACAGAUCCAUAAGAUCUCCUUCAACAACCUUGAAUGUCACGGACUUGGUUUCUUCUUCAGUUCUUCUAUUGCUUCAACAAUUUCCUUAGCAGCCUUCUCCUUUCUAUCUGUGGUUUUCAUCACAUUAAAUGCAACUUCUUAAGUCAAGCUAGUCAAGGCGUAUCCACAAUUUUAAUUUUGGGGAGCUGAAUAUAUAUAUAAAACACAUAAUUUGUAAAUUACACAUGUAAUAUAUUGGACCUAGAAUUUCUCUCCUAGGUGCUUUCAAUUGCUUGUAAUAAAACAUAAUAUUUUUAUGUAAUUUUUAUAUAUUUUAUAUUUUGAGUAUUUGUCUGUGAAUCCAACCCUAUAGUUGUAAUUUAAAGAAAUUCUGAAACUACGAGGACAAAAGUGCAAUUUUGUACUAGAGGAGGUUAAGAAGACUAUAAAUACAUGAGGGAGGCAACCCUAAUUGGGAGUAAGAGCCAACAAUAUUGUUUAUCCAUGCUCUUUGUGUACUUGAGAGAUUUUUAGAGAAAUCAUUGAGCUUCAUCUUUUCUCUUAAGGUGUGUUUAUCAUAAACUCAUCAAAUCAAGAUUUAAAUCCUUUGGACAUACUCAAAGGCGGAUAGAUUUAAGUUCAAUUCAUAGAUGAUUGUUGAUGAUUCAAUACUCAACCAUUAACUGAAGCGUAGAUCGUGGACUCAGUCAGUACUAGGAUCACAUUCACAUGUUCGAGGAUUUGACACCUAAGGCGCGUGAAUUUAGUUAGAUUGAGUUUGUAAGUUAUAACUUAUAUUUUGCAUAGUGGAUUAGUUGAUCGUACUUAGUUCCAGAUUUUUUUUUCUACUUUGAGAUUUUGCACGUAAAAAAUUGCUUGUUUUUGUGUGUGCUUGAUUUUAUAUUUAUUUGAGGUUUUUAUUUGUUUGGUUAAAUAGCUUCGCAAAUUCAUAAAACGAAUAAAACUAUAUUUUUAAUUUUACAAUUGGUAUCAGAGCGGGUCACUCAAAAUAAAAUAUUUUUUUAUUUUUUUUCAGAGUAUGGUCUGAUUGAUUUGUUUCUAUGUAUAAAUUUGAUCGUAAGAAGCUUGACAAUAUUCAACAAGCCUAUGAUAACUUUGUAAGGAGUCUUAUGAGAAGAACAAAAUUUAUGAAAAAUGUAAUGCAAAAGUGGAAUCACUUAAGAAGUCUUAAGAGAUGAAUAUAAAUAAGAGCUAAUUGAAGCUCAAGCUACCGUGGGUGAAUUGAAUCGUAUAAUGCUACUUUGUCUAAAAAAAAAAUUAUUAUUGAAAAAGAGAAAAAAUAAAUAUUUGAUAAGUUGAAUUUACUUUUUGAAAAACAUUUAAAACCUGACAAAGAUAUGCAUUUGUGUCUUGAGUCAAAAGAUAAUCUUGAGGAAAAAGUGGGUAAAUUAGAAUUUGAUCUUAGUGCUUCUAAUGCUACUCUCGAGAAGUUUAAUGCAGAUUCAAAGGUUUUGGAUGAAAUUAUUUGCGUGCAAAAAUUUUCUUCUGACAAGAGAGGACUUGGAUAUGUUGAUAAGCCUUCAUCUUCUUCCAAAUCGGGGAACAUGGAUAUUUUUGUGAACCCUAAAAAAUGUGGUUCCAAUCUUUCCAAGGCCAACCAAACAAAGGGAUCUCCUAAGAAAACCGUCACAAAUGUAUAGGUAAAAUCAUCUAAUUUUAAUCUUGUUUGCCAUCAGUGUAGUGUCCAUGGUCAUAUUAGGCAUUUAUUGAUUUAAUGAUUGUUUUGAUGAUAUUUGAUGAUGUCAAGGUUUCAUCAUGUAUGGUCUUAAUAUUGAUAUAUGCACAAAAUGUAUAUAUAUAUAUAUAUAUAUAUAUAUAUUAUUUAUCAUAUUAAUACAUAUAUAUUAGAUUCAUGGUAUGAUUAUGCGUAUUCUACAUUAGUAUUUUUCAUUCUAUUAGUAUUAUACACCUUCAAAGUUCAGUCGAUCAAAAUUGCAACUGAAACAAAGUUUGAUUGACUGAAGUUGACUUUUGGUCGGCCGAACUUUCGACCAAAAUUUAAAAUUUUCAAUCCUAACAGUCCAAAUCAAGUUCCAACGGCCCAAAUUAAAUUCUAAUUACUCUAUUACUAUUUCAACAAGUAGAUUUGCUAAGAUGGCUAUAAAUACAACCCUUAACUAGAUGCAAAUUAUGAUGGGAUGAAAUAGGUUUGAUAGGAUUAAUGACCAAUUAAAAUUCUUGUUAAAACUUAUACUAGCAAUGCACUCUCAAUUUAAGCAAAUAUAUAUAAACAACUUAAAAGAGGGGAGAGAAAAUAGUGCAAACGAUUUAUAAUGGUUCAACAAAUCUCAGCCUACGUCCACUCUCCAAACUUCUCAUUGGAAAUUCAUUAUCUUCAAAUUUGUGAGUGCUUGAAAAUCUUUAUAAAUACUAGAACCUUUUAGUCGUCAAGAGAGUCCCUCUCUUAGGAAUUUUACAAUUACUUAUAGUGAUCCUUUCAACAAGAUACAAUAGUUGAAGUGAUUCUUACUUACCAACUCUAGAUCAAGGAUAAAUACAAUCAUAUCUAGAAUGAUCUUGCUCACUUUGAUUUUUGGCAAAUCAAACUCACAAUAAAUGAACAAAUGAUUGAAGUAUUGAAUACAAAUGUUAUUAGGAUUUUAUGGCACUUCAAUACCCUUCCAACAAACCCAAGGAUUGAAUUAUAAGCCAAAAGUUAAAUAGAGUCAUUGCAGCAUGUAAUGCAUCUGAUUAAGCCAUUCUGAUUGAAUCUCAGCCGUUGGAUCUUGAUUUGGACUGCAGGAUUAAAAUGUUCAAACUUCGGUUGACCAAACUUUAAUUAUGGUCGAAAUUGCACUGAGAUUUCAGAGAUUAACUUUUCUUGUUUACUGAAGGGUUGGGGAACUUCGGUCGAGGUUUUGUAACUUUCGAUCGAACGAAUGUCAACUUCGGUUGACAUUGCUCUACAAUUUCAGUAAGCUCUUUAAUCUCUAAUUUGGCUCUUAACUGAUUUCGAUUGAUCGAAUCUUAACUUUGAUCGACUGAACCUUACCUUUAGUUAAGGUUGUACUAAAUUUUCAAUGAGCUCUUGGUUCCUCUAUUUUCACUUCAGCUAUGCUUUCUUAACUUCGGUCGACCAAUUGUGGACUUUGGUUGUAGUUGCUUUGUGUCUCCAGUGAGCUAGUCUGUCAAUGGAUUGGGCUUCCAUUUCACUUUGGUUGAGGGCCUUAAGCUUUGGUCGAUCGAAAUUGUGACGGUAACAACUUUUGUGUUGUUUCUUUUAUAGUUCAAAAUCGUCAAUUAUCCAUUUUGAGUUUAAAUGUUAAUUUGACUCUUCUAUCACUUUCAUGUGUAUAAUUACAUUGAAUAUAACUUGUGAAGAGUUAUGAAUCUCACUUUAAACAUGUGUAGCCUUAACUUUAAUAGCACUAUUGUUUUUCUUCAAGGAUGUGAAUUAGUCGAUUUAGUUCUUUCCAUUCUAAGUCAUUUUAUCAAUCUGUGUUAUCUAGAAAGCAUUAUACUAGGGGGAUGAAAUAUGUUUGCUAAGAUUUGAUGGCCAAUUAAAAUUUUUUCUUAAUAACUUACUCAAAUAAUGAACUUCUAGAUUUAACAAGUAUAUAAGCAAUGUAAAAAGGAGAGAAGAGAAAGAAGAUGCAAACGAUUUAUAGUAGUUCGGCAAAUCUUGGUUUACGUCCACUUUCUAAGUUUCUUCUUGAAAAUUCACUAAGUUUAAGCUUACGAGUGCUUGACAACCUUUACAACUACUAGAACUCUUCUAGUAUUCAAGAGAUUUAUUUUCUUGGAAAUUUUCAAUCACUAAAAGUGAUUUUCUCAAUAAGAUACAAUAGUUUAAAGUAACUAUUUACUCACACAUUCCAGAUUGAUAAUAAAUACAAUGAAGCUCUCUUGUUUAGAUUGAUCUAACUUUCUUGAUCUCAAUCAAGCUGACAAUGAAUGAUCAAGGGAUUGAAGUAAUGAAUACAAAUAAAUGUAAAGAUUAAAAGCAAUUCAAUACUUCUCCAACAACCUCCACAUAUGGUUGAAUUUAUAAGCUCAAAAUAAAUUAUAGUCGUUGUAGCAUUAAAUGCACCUAAUCUAGCCGUUUUGAUUUAAUCACAACCGUUGCAUCUUUGAUUUGAAUGUGCAAGAUCAAACUUUUAAACUUCGGUCAUAAACUUCGGUCGUCAAUGAUCGAAAAUUCCAAAGACUUUCAUUCCUUGUCUGC
rnacentral:lncRNA from 1 species